rnacentral:lncRNA from 1 species
UAUUGAAAAUUCCUUGAAGUUUGUGAGCCCAACUUUGGGUGAUUGGGCCCAUGGGUAAUUGGUAUUGUCUCCCCAUCGGUCCUAGUUUGUCAUGGGCUUUAUUGUCCUGCAUGUCUUCCUCUUUUAUCGGAAUGUCCUUUGUGAUGGUUCUCGCAUCAAAUCCCUUCUAUCUUCGGUAGAUAUAUGUUGUAAUGGAGGUCCGUAAA